rnacentral:lncRNA from 1 species
UUCGUGUGUAGCUGCCUUCAUAACUCCCUUUCAUCUUUUUGUCACUCCUCAUUUCUUGAAUCCUAUCUGCCUUUUUCCCUUUCUGGUCUUUCCUUACCUCUCGUAUACUCUGCUCUUUUUACUUUCCUGUCAUUAUCGCCUGGACAUGCCUUUUUUUUCCUUUUCCAUGAACAUCUUUUAAAGAUCCUGACAUCGUGGGCUCAAAGUCUAGAGUUACUUUACUUUGUGCUAAGACUUCAGAUUUUGAGUAUAUAUCAGCGUCAACUCCUCUUCACUCUUAGGCCCUUUGUCGGAGAAAGGGGGUCUUUCUUUCCAGCCCUCUGUCUAUUUCCUUCUUCCAGCGAGAUUCUCCUGUUUUUUCUGCAAAGG